GGGUGCGAUCAUACCAACGUUAGUGCACUGGAUCCUAUCAGAACUUUGAAGUUAAGCGUGCUUGGGAUAGAGUAGUAUUGGGAUGGGUGACCUCCCGAGAAGUCCUAGUGUUUCACCCU
rfam:Picea glauca, whole genome shotgun sequence.